rnacentral:rRNA from 1 species
GAUGAACGCUAGCGGGAGGCCUAACACAUGCAAGCUGAGCGGUAGAGUUUCUUCGGAGACUUGAGAGCGGCGUACGGGUGCGGAACACGUGUGCAACCUGCCUUUAUCAGGGGGAUAGCCUUUCGAACGGAAGAUUAAUACCCCAUAAUAUAUAGAGUGGCAUCACUUUAUAUGGAAAACUGAGGUGGAUAAAGAUGGGCACGCGCAAGAUUAGAUAGUUGGUGAGGUAACGGCUCACCAAGUCGAUGAUCUUAGGGGGCCUGAGAGGGUGAUCCCCCACACUGGUACUGAGACACGGACCAGACUCCGACGGGAGGCAGCAGUGAGGAAUAUUGGACAAUGGGUUAGCGCCUGAUCCAGCCAUCCCGCGUGAAGGACGACGGCCCUAUGGGUUGUAAACUUCUUUUGUACAGGGAUAAACCUAUUUACGUGUAAAUAGCUGAAGGUACUGUACGAAUAAGCACCGGCUAACUCCGUGCCAGCAGCCGCAGUAA